rnacentral:rRNA from 1 species
GACAGAGGGUGCAACCGUUGCUCGGAAUCACUGGGCGUAAAGGGCGUGUAGGCGGGAAGGAAAGUCAGAUGUGAAAUCCCUGGGCUCAACCCAGGAACUGCAUUUGAAACUCCCUUUCUUGAGUGUCGGAGAGGAAAGUGGAAUUCCUGGUGUAGAGGUGAAAUUCGUAGAUAUCAGGAGGAACACCGGUGGCGAAGGCGGCUUUCUGGACGACAACUGACGCUGAGACGCGAAAGCGUGGGGAGCAAACAGG